rnacentral:rRNA from 1 species
AAUUUUGGACAAUGGGGGAAACCCUGAUCCAGCCAUCCCGCGUGUGUGAUGAAGGCCUUCGGGUUGUAAAGUACUUUUGGCAGAGAAGAAAAGGUAUCGCCUAAUACGAGAUACGGCUGACGGUAUCUGCAUAAGAAGCACCGGCUAACUACGUGCCAGCAGCCGCGGUAAUACGUAGGGUGCAAGCGUUAAUCGGAAUUACUGGUCGUAAAGCGUGUGUCGGGGGUUCGGAAAAAAAGAUGUGAAAUCCCAGGGCUCAACCUUGGAAAAGCAUUUUUAACUGCCGAGCUAGAGUAUGUCAGAGGGGGGUAGAAUUCCACGUGUAGCAGUGAAAUGCGUAGAUAUAUGGAGGAAUACCGAUGGCGAAGGCGGCCCCCUGGGAUAAUACUGACGCUCAGACACGAAAGCGUGGGGAGCAAACAG